rnacentral:lncRNA from 1 species
AUCGGCGACGACGACGGCAGCUACAUGGACGACAACAACGGCUGACUUCUCGAUGGGACGCGGCGCGGCAGCAACACAGAGCCUCUUGGCCAAUCGGGAUUGAGGCCGAGGCUAGGGUUUCAAAAAAAGGGGGCGGCGAGGGGUGGCGAGCGAAAACGGCGACGGCCAAGAGGGGGCUGAUACCUGCUUAUGGAGAGGGUAUGGCGCGGCAGCGUGGGAAAAGGCGAUGACCCAGCACAAGCGGAACUCCGCGACGGGGGCUCCGAGUCGCGGCGGUUCUUUGAGCUCUGAAGCAGCAACGGAUCUGGGGGGGUGCAGGUGCGACGACGGGGCAGCUACGGCGGUCCGUUAGCUUCUCAGAUCUGGCACCUUUCCCUCCGAUUCCUCUCUCUCAGAUCCGAC